GCCACUUUGGGGAGGAGUCACGUGAGGGAAGAUGGCGGCUUUUGCCCCUGAGAGAGGGCGCGCGAAGGAUUCUGGGGGGGGUGCAGCCGAUAGAGACCCUGCGCUAGACAAGUGAGAGACAGGACCAAGCAAAUUAAUUCCUCUAGCAGCCAAGUUGAAUGCCUUGCCAAGAAGCGUGGCAUACUCCCAUCAGGAAUCCAUUCCAGCGUGCAGGGCAGUACAGCACCCUGUGGAUACGGUUGCACAGGUGUACUCUGCCGGGGAAGAUGUGGUGGGUGAUUGCAGGGCUGCUCAGAUGAUGGUAUCACAGGAAUGUAGUGAGUAAAGUAUGACUUUGACUUUAUCCUUGCUGCUUGCAAUUUUGUUUGCUUUUGUUCCCUCCUGUUUAGCUGAAAUGCUUAAGAGGUGGGGAAACCCUCUCUUUCUGAUGUGUUUGGUUCUCUUACCCUUCUGUUAAGGCUGAGAAUGAGCUCUCAAUGUCAUUAAGAUGGAAGACUCAACUUGACAGCCCUGAGGAGAAUAGAAAGGAGUAGGGAGAGGAGUAUAUGUUCAAACCUGAUUUACCUUUCAUAGAGAAGGAAAAAAAAAGGGAGGGGAAGGGUUGCAGACCCCUUUAAGAAGGAAAGCCUACUACCUCUUCCAUGCUGCUCCCUCUUGCAAUAC